AUUGAACGCUGGCGGCAUGCCUUACACAUGCAAGUCGAACGGUAACAGGUCUUCGGAUGCUGACGAGUGGCGAACGGGUGAGUAAUACAUCGGAACGUGCCUAGUAGUGGGGGAUAACUACUCGAAAGAGUGGCUAAUACCGCAUGAGAUCUACGGAUGCAAGCAGGGGAUCGCAAGACCUUGUGCUACUAGAGCGGCCGAUGGCAGAUUAGGUAGUUGGUGGGAUAAAAGCUUACCAAGCCGACGAUCUGUAGCUGGUCUGAGAGGACGAUCAGCCACACUGGGACUGAGACACGGCCCAGACUCCUACGGGAGGCAGCAGUGGGGAAUCUUGGACAAUGGGCGCAAGCCUGAUCCAGCAAUGCCGCGUGCAGGAUGAAGGCCUUCGGGUUGUAAACUGCUUUUGUACGGAACGAAAAGCCCUGGGUUAAUACCCUGGGGUCAUGACGGUACCGUAAGAAUAAGCACCGGCUAACUACGUGCCAGCAGCCGCAGCAACAC
rnacentral:rRNA from 1 species